rnacentral:lncRNA from 1 species
GAGCUCAGAGUGAGUUGACCUGGCCUGGACUUCCGGUCUUCCGCAACCUCUCCGGAAGUCUCAGGUAGCAGGCUCUGGCUCUUAAAAUGAAAGUCAAAGACUACCUUCUCUCCCUGGAUUGAUUCAUUUUUGUUGUCUUCCUGUUUGGAAGUGUCCAAGUGAAAUAUGAGAACAGAGGACUAAUAUUAACUAGUAAUGUUACCCUGAAAGAUGUCGCUACCUCUCCUGGAAAAGCAUUUCUCGUCUUUGGCCUGGUUGUCAGUGGGGCAUUCCUUACCUCAGAAAAGCCUCUUUUCCACUCCUUCAUGCUGUGGAAUUCCCAGAUUUCUUCAGCCACAGAGAUUCAGAAGCCUUAAAUAUUUUGGUGAAAUUUAUUCCUGAAUCACCACAGGAGCUAAAAGCAAUACUUUCUGACAAGCAGUCAUUAUUGAGGACACUACAACAUCCAAAAGACAGGGGAAUUUUACUUGAUAUGUUUGUCAAACGUUGUUGUAAAUUUAAUUGUGUCAAACAAGCUAAGAUGUUAAUUGUAAUUUCUAAUCCACUUAUGUAAUCUUCAUUUCUAAUCUUGAAUAUACUGUCACUGAUGUCCCGGUCAGUCACUACUGAUUAUUAAAAUCAUG